GAAUUCUUUGUAACCAUCAUCCUCAUC
rnacentral:piRNA from 1 species